rnacentral:tRNA from 1 species
GAAAAACUAGUUAAAAAAUAACAAAAGAAUGUCAUUCUUUAAUUACUCAGGUGUUUUUCA